GGCCAUUCCAAAAUUUGGGGUCCUCUCCUGGUCCGGUCUCAGGGAUCAGCUUAAAGUGCAGGUGGGGGGCCAGGACACCAGGAGCCCUGAGCCUGCUUCGUGCAACCCAGGCCUGUGUGGGACCCAGCUGGGGUCUCAGGUCCCUGGGCAGCGGGGCAGGGAACUUGCUCUCCGGAGCAGGCCAAACCUGGAAGGCGUUCCUGCUGCUUCUCUCCUAACAAGGGACCCACGAGGCAGAGGUGGUCAGGGCCGCUCAGAGGCUUCUGGGAGGUGCAGAAGGCAGGUGCCCAGCUCUGGUUAUUCAUUUGCUCUCACAGCAAUCCGAGGAGACAGGCACUAAUGUCCCUUAGGUACCAACAGUAUUCGUAUUUUCCAGGGGGAUAAACUAAGCCACAGAGAGUUAAGUCACCGGCCCCAGGUCCCUGACCCCAGGCAUGUAGCUGGCGUCCCUGGCAUUUGUUGAGAAGAUGAAGCUGAAUGCAGAUGUGACCCGCACAAGGUCAGGAGCCCAGGAUUGGAACCCAGAUCUGGUGUCAGAAGUUCUUGGGUUUCGGGUCCUCGGCUGAGCCUCCUCUGCAGCCCUGGGACCCACCCAGGAGGCACGGCUGGCGUCUGCCCUCGAGGGCACCCUGCACCUUGUGGCCAGCUUCCCAGAGCUCCCGACCUUUCCUUUCCAAUGGAGGCUGCAAGAAGCAGCCCCUGACACAGGACCCAGCCCAGCCCUCCCAGCCAGGCCUGGGUGUCAUCCUGCCACACGGAAGUGAUUUCAGUCACUGAUGUCAGACAGGGCCACUCUGUGACCAGGAUGGAUCAAGACAAAACAUCGAGAGCACGCUGCCAUCAUGUCUGAAUACAGACAAAAAAACCAACACCCUCCAAACCACAAACACGACCCAAUGUCCUCUAUCUUCGUUGCCUGAGUGACAGCAGCUUCAGCACCCAUUCACUUCUCUUCCUUUCCAGAUAAAAGCCACUAAGAUCCCCCAUCACAGGAUCGCCUCCGCUUUGUGAGCACACGCCUGAGACAAAGGCUCCGUCUCCUUGCAUCCUCCCGGAAGCACCCAGAACAAGCCCCCGUUUUUCCAGUCCUUCCUAGGACCCUGUGCGCAGAUGGUCCCCGGCUUCCCAGGUGUGCACGCCCCUUCGUUCCAACCGCCAAUAAACCCCCACUGCGCUCAGGCAGGUGACUCUGGUGGCCCUUGGCUGGGACCCUGCACGAAGUCUCACAACUGAACAAGACUCGGUUUGUUCAGCCCAUUUCAUUGAUGCCUCUGGAGCCACAGCAGUGAGUCAGCCCCAAAGUAUCAGCCCCCGGGAGGCACGACGGGGCCAGAGGGGAGCCUUCACUCCAUCUGUCCCCAGGAGCCUUCAGCUCCAUCUGUCCCCAGGAGGCCUAUUUCCAGCCCUGUGGCUGGAGAAAGAAUGUUCGCUGCUUGAUGGUCCUGCAGCACCUGCUGGCCCCGUCCGCUGUCCUCUCCGCCCCAGCCCUGUGGUAGGGCGUUGGCACCUGCAGGAGGAGACGGAGAAAGGGAACGAGUGCUUGGGCCAGAAGCCCUGGGCCCUGCGCUUGCCUCUGCCUCUCAUUUGCCAUGUAGCCUGCUCCUCAGUUUAUCCAUCAGGACAAUGGGUGGGUGAGGCCGAGGCAGGUGAAAGGUUGAAGGGACUUGCCCACCUGGGCCCGCUCUCUCCCUUGCCUGAAAUCCUCAGGUUCAGGCAGGGCAGAAACCUUCUGGUCUCCCGCUCUCUACCCUGGUUCCCUGAGGGUUAAUCCACCUUCUAGAACAGACACAGGGCUGACCUGAGGCGCAGGUGAGCAUCUGGGGGAUUCCAUAUGUCCCCGGUCACUAGAGCCCUGGCUGGGUAGGGAGCCGUGUUGCUCGUGACCAGUGGAAAGCUUCGGGCUCAGGCUCUGUGUCCUUCCAGCCCCGUUCCUCCUCGCUCCCUGGAUCAGGGACCACAUCCAAGCCAAACAGGAUGGUCAGGACGGAGCCGGAGGUGGCCCGGGUAGGGCCCACAGGGCCUCGGGGCUCCUAGGGAGGAGGCGGUGGCAGUUGAGGAAGAAGGUCUCUGUAGCUUCAUUCAGCUCUAAAUCCUGCUGUCUGGUGACUGGGGAUGUGGCAUUCUCCUCUCUGCCCCAGGCGGGAGGAGAGGAAGGAAGCAGAGCUGGGGACUGAGGUGUGAGCCAACAGGUGACCUUUCAAAAGAAGAAUCCUUUUCUUUCCCUGCAGCCCAUCUUCAGGAGGGAAGAGAGAAUCCAGAAAGCCUGUGGGUCCUUCAGUGCCCUCUCCUCACACUCUAUUCAGAUUCACCCUUCCAGGCCCUUCCACAUCCCCCUCCCAAAUGCCUCUCCCCUCUGCCCGGAAGUCCCUCCCCGCCAUAUCCCCUUUGCUUGGAGAUUCCAUCCAUCAAGCCUCAUCUUAAUGUCACUUCCUCCAAGAAGCCUCCCCUGGUUGGAUCUUGGAUGUACCUAUGGCUCUCUCUGCCCCUCCCUCCCAAAUUUGAACACACUGAGUGGUAAGUCACUGUCUGUGACCUUCCUCCAGGGUUAGCAGCAGCCUAUCUUGUUCACCCCUGAAUCCCCACUGCCUGGGAUGAGCCUGGCAUACAGUGGGUGCCACAUAAAUGUUUGAUGAUGAGUGAUCACAGUGAUGGAGAUGAGAACUUUAGAGGCCAGAGCUGAAAGCAAAGAACCUUAAGUUGGAAAGGUUUUGGUGGCAACGCUCUGAGCAAGAUUUGGAGAUUGGGGUGCCUGAGACAAGUAGGAAGGGGGUUGCCCUGGUCUAGGCACAGCCUGGCAAAGAUGAGGAGAACCAGUGGGAAAUGAUGGCUCUGAGAGACUUCUACUUCAAGUAAGGCUGGGACUUAGAUCCUGCUAAGGACAACUCCAAUCCCUAGAUCAAUUUUUUGAAAAAAAAAAAAAAAUUCAUCUUCUUAAGACCACUGAACAGUUCAGUAGGUAGAAGCCAGGCGCAGUGGUGCCCGUGUGUAGUUCCCAGCUACUUGAGAGGCUGAGGCAAGAGGAUCACUUGAGUCCAGGAAUUCAAGACCAGCCAGGGCAACACAGUGAGAUCAUGUCUCAAAACAAAAACAAAACUUAACAAGGUAACAAGAGGGGCUGGGGUUGUGGCUCAGAGGUAGAGUGCUUGCCUAGCAUGCAUGAGGCACUGGGUUCAAUCCUCAGCACCCCAUAAAAAUAAAAUACAGAUAUUGUGUCCAAUAACUAAAAAAAUAAAUAUUAAAAAAAACAAGGUAGCAAAGAAUUUUCUAGCAAAGAAUAUUCUAACCAGAAUUCAGAAGGCAAGAAUCCAGGGGAAAUGUCCAGUGUGCAAGACCACAUUUUCCCUGGAGCAUUUGCCAACAGGAAAGAAACAGCUUUGAAACCAACCUGUGGUUGUGAUGUCCUCAUGGGGCAGGGGUGAGAGAAGGAGGGUAAAAGGUGAACCCAGGGACCCGGGGUGCUCAGUGGUGGAGUACCUGGUUAACAUGGAUGAGGCCCAGGUUCAACCCCCAGCACCACAAAAAAGAAAAGAAAAAGGAAAAAAGAAGGAAGAAAAGAUGAGGAAUCCAGUACUCUAUGUCACCUUUAAAUCAAAAUGUCCUUGAAUAAAGGUGAACCAAACCUUGAGCCCAGUCACAUGGGUGAUUCAAGAAAUUCAGCCCCUGAACAUGAAUUAAAGGGCCUUGGAUUAGUAAUGACCCCAGGUAUCUGGUAGACAUGAACAAAAAACUUGUCUAAAGGGGAGUGACAGCAUCUGAGGCCUCAUAUGAUUCUCAUAAAUUAUUUUCAGAUGUGGUGAGCAGAGCACAAAGAUAACCAGGCAUACAAGGAGACAAGACCCCAUGAGCAAGAAUCAGCACAAACAAAAGACAACAGAGGUUGACCAUGAUGAGUUCUGAUACAGGAAUUAUCAGACAUUAUGGCCUUUGAAAGGUGUUUAAAAAAAAAAACAUAAGAAUCACAGGCUUACAGAUCCUCGUGGUCUAGCUGAUCCUAAAAUUCCACAUGGAGAUGGAAGGAACCCCUAAUAGCAAAAAGAAUCAGGAAAAGAACAAAUUUGAAGGCUCAUAGCUCCUUAUUCCAAGAUAGAUAGACAGAUAGAUAGAUUACCUUUAUUUUAUUUAUUUGUUUUUCUGUGGUGCUGAGGAUCGAACCCAGUGACUCACACAUGAGAGGCAAGUGUUCUGCCCACUGAGCUACAGCCUCAGCCCCAUGAUUCCAAGACUUAAUGCAAAGCUACAAUAAUCAAGACUGUGCCGGACCAACCUUUAGACAGACAAAUAGACCAAAAGAAUGUAACUUAGAGUUCAGAAAUAAACCCACGUGUUUGUGCUCAUUUGAAUUUUGACAAGGGUACUAAGAGAAGUCAGUGUGGGGGCAGAGUUUUCAACACAUUAUGCUGGGACAACUGGACCUUUACAUUGUGAAAUAAUGAAAUUGUCCCUCUACCUCACACCAUAUACCCCAGUAACCAUUAACUCAAAACGAGGGUGGAGGCCUCAGGAAGGAGAUUCAUGUCAUAAGAUACAAGAGAGUUUUCUCCCUCUUUCCCUACCCCACUCCUAGCUCCCUCUUUUUUCUCUACCACUGAGAAUACAGCAAGGAGAUAGCCAUCUGUGUCAGGAGGGAAGUUCUUAUC
rnacentral:tRNA from 1 species